UACGGGGGGGGCAAGCGUUGUUCGGAAUUACUGGGCGUAAAGGGCUCGUAGGCGGCCAACUAAGUCAGACGUGAAAUCCCCCGGCUUAACCGGGGAACUGCGUCUGAUACUGGAUGGCUUGAGUUCGGGAGAGGGAUGCGGAAUUCCAGGUGUAGCGGUGAAAUGCGUAGAUAUCUGGAGGAACACCGGUGGCGAAGGCGGCAUCCUGGACCGACACUGACGCUGAGGAGCGAAAGCCAGGGGAGCAAACGGG
rnacentral:rRNA from 1 species